GGUUGGGCUUCAUGCACCCAAAGGUUGCUGCCCACUCGAUUCCGGGUCAGGGCACAUGCCCGGGUCGCGGGCUCGAUCCCCAGUAGGGGGCUUGCAGGAGGCAGUCACUCUCACAUUGAUGUUUCUCUCUCUCCCCCUCUCCUUCUCUCUCUCUCUAGAAGUCAGAAAAGAAAAAAAGAAAAAAGAAUUGAGGAAAAUCUACUUGGAUCCUAGUCCUGGCUCUGAAACUACGUACUAUGGCCUUAGGAUCUCCAUGUGCAAAAAGCUGGAGUGGGAUUUACAAAACCGUCCGCCUCUUCAGAGUUCACUGCCGGCCACGCGCAAACCGACAGUUGUGCAGCAGGAGAAGCUGCUGCUUUGAAAAAGUCUUUCUUCAGGGGCGAAUCUCAUCAACCUAAAGAUUUAACUCCUUGGCUCAGAAACCUGCCCACUUCCAGAGGCUGGCGGAGAG